rnacentral:rRNA from 1 species
GGGGAAUAUUGCACAAUGGGCGAAAGCCUGAUGCAGCUAUGCCGCGUGUAUGAAGAAGGCCUUAGGGUUGUAAAGUACUUUCAUCGGGGAGGAAAAAACAAAACUAAUAAUUUUAUUUCUUGACGUUACCCGAAAAAGAAGCACCGGCUAACUCCGUGCCAGCAGCCGCGGUAAUACGGAGGGUGCUAGCGUUAAUCAGAAUUACUGGGCGUAAAGAGCACGUAGGUGGUUUUUUUAAAGUCAGAUGUGAAAUCCCUGGGCUUUAACCUAGGAACUGCAUUUUGAAACUGAAAUACUAGAGUAUCGUAGAGGGAGGUAGAAUUCUAGGUGUAGCGGUGAAAUGCGUAGAUAUCUGGAGGAAUACCUGUGGCGAAAGCGGCCUCCUAAACGAAUACUGACACUGAGGGUGCGAAAGCGUGGGGAGCAAACGAGGGAUUAGAUACC